ACUCCUAAGUACCCUAAACCCUAAACAUUGAAAAUAUCUGCCCAUGACAACUGAGAUAUUUGAGAUGUUCAUGUUGAAAUGUCAAUAGAAUUCAAAUAUGCACCCCACUGCCGUGCGCCCCACGAAUGUCCCAUACAACAGGAUUGCGCCACAUGUUCAGAUGCACGAUUUCGUGCUUCCCGCAUGCAGGGCUAUAACAGGAUGGCCGUUAGCUCCAAAAUAAGCUGAAACCCAUAUUCCUGCUCCCACCCUCACUCCGAGACUAGAGCUUGAGAUCCAAGUUAGGAUUCAGCUCCCUCUCCGAUACCGGCGAGCGCUCUGGCCACUUCACCAUCGCGAGACAGAAGGAGAGUUUAAUCAUCCACCACCGGCCAUCUCCGGCAAACACCAGCUAUCAAAUGGUGCGUUUUUCUUUUCUCGCUUUUUUAGGGUUUAAUUUUAUUUGAUAUUUUCUUUUUUUUUUUUUAUUUGAAGACAGAGGAGAAGAGUUUAAUCAUCCACUACCGACACCAGUCUACUCCCUCCAUCCGAUCUCGGAUUCAGCUCCCUCUUUACCAGUAGACUCUUGGAUACAUUCGAAGAUGUUAGAAAUCAAUAAAAAAGAGGUGAUUUGUUGUACUUAACAUGUACUGAACUUUCUGUUGGUAAAGAAAAGUGGGGUAUGCUGAUAAAAGGGGGAAAAUACUAAUCCUGUUUCAAUCACUGUGACAGGAAACAUGUCUGGGUUUUCAUAGUCUUAGAUUAUAUGCAUUUGUCGGUGAUCACCGGAGAUGACCGGUGGUGGAUGAUUAAACUCCCCUUCUCUGUCUUGAAAUGAAAAAAAAAAUGUUAAAUAAAAUCAAACCCUAAAAAAG